rnacentral:rRNA from 1 species
UACGUAGGGUGCAAGCGUUGUCCGGAAUUAUUGGGCGUAAAGAGCUCGUAGGCGGUUUGUCGCGUCGGCUGUGAAAACCUGAGGCUCAACCUCGGGCCUGCAGUCGAUACGGGCAAACUAGAGUUCGGUAGGGGAGACUGGAAUUCCUGGUGUAGCGGUGGAAUGCGCAGAUAUCAGGAGGAACACCGAUGGCGAAGGCAGGUCUCUGGGCCACUACUGACGCUGAGAAGCGAAAGCAUGGGGAGCGAACAGG